rnacentral:rRNA from 1 species
AGUUUGAUCCUGGCUCAGAUUGAACGCUGGCGGCAGGCCUAACACAUGCAAGUCGAACGGUAACAGAAAGCAGCUUGCUGCUUUGCUGACGAGUGGCGGACGGGUAGUAUUUUUGGGAAACUCCCCUGGAGGGGGGGGAUAUCCUCGGGGAACGGGUUAUUAACCCCGCAUAACGCGCAAGACCAAAAGGGGGGCCCUUGGGGCCUCUUCCCCUUGGGAUUGCCCCAAAGAGGAUUAUCUUUGUGGUGGGGUAACGGCUUCCACAAGGCGGAGAUCCCUAGCUGUGUUGAGAGGGAGGCCCAGCCCCCCGGGAAUUGAGACCCGGUCCAGACUCCUACGGGGAGGCACCAGUGGGGAAUAUUGCACAAUGGGCGCAAGCCUGAUGCAGCCAUGCCGCGUGUAUGAAGAAGGCCUUCGGGUUGUAAAGUACUUUCAGCGGGGAGGAAGGGAGUAAAGUUAAUACCUUUGCUCAUUGACGUUACCCGCAGAAGAAGCACCGGCUAACUCCGUGCCAGCAGCCGCGGUAAUACGGAGGGUGCAAGCGUUAAUCGGAAUUACUGGGCGUAAAGCGCACGCAGGCGGUUUGUUAAGUCAGAUGUGAAAUCCCCGGGCUCAACCUGGGAACUGCAUCUGAUACUGGCAAGCUUGAGUCUCGUAGAGGGGGGUAGAAUUCCAGGUGUAGCGGUGAAAUGCGUAGAGAUCUGGAGGAAUACCGGUGGCGAAGGCGGCCCCCUGGACGAAGACUGACGCUCAGGUGCGAAAGCGUGGGGAGCAAACAGGAUUAGAUACCCUGGUAGUCCACGCCGUAAACGAUGUCGACUUGGAGGUUGUGCCCUUGAGGCGUGGCUUCCGGAGCUAACGCGUUAAGUCGACCGCCUGGGGAGUACGGCCGCAAGGUUAAAACUCAAAUGAAUUGACGGGGGCCCGCACAAGCGGUGGAGCAUGUGGUUUAAUUCGAUGCAACGCGAAGAACCUUACCUGGUCUUGACAUCCACAGAACUUUCCAGAGAUGGAUUGGUGCCUUCGGGAACUGUGAGACAGGUGCUGCAUGGCUGUCGUCAGCUCGUGUUGUGAAAUGUUGGGUUAAGUCCCGCAACGAGCGCAACCCUUAUCCUUUGUUGCCAGCGGUCCGGCCGGGAACUCAAAGGAGACUGCCAGUGAUAAACUGGAGGAAGGUGGGGAUGACGUCAAGUCAUCAUGGCCCUUACGACCAGGGCUACACACGUGCUACAAUGGCGCAUACAAAGAGAAGCGACCUCGCGAGAGCAAGCGGACCUCAUAAAGUGCGUCGUAGUCCGGAUUGGAGUCUGCAACUCGACUCCAUGAAGUCGGAAUCGCUAGUAAUCGUGGAUCAGAAUGCCACGGUGAAUACGUUCCCGGGCCUUGCACACACCGCCCGUC